UGCCCUGUGGAUCACACACACCUCUCUCUGUUGAGAUUCAGGUGUAAGUUAAACUUAAACCCCAAAAAAUCAGCUGACUCCCAACUGCUGAGCAAUCGAAUAGCUCUGGCGAUGUGCAAUUACUAAAUCAUCAUUUCAAUUCCAUCGAAAUCACAGAUAGCAUCUUGGGAGAAAAAAAGCUGUGUGGAUUGGAUUCUUGAGUGCUGAGUGUAGAACCACACAAAAUUUGAUGAGUGGGGCUUCAACAUCUGGCAGUCUUCGAGCAGCUUUAUCCCACUGUGUACAACAAGUCCGAAAAUAUGAUUACCACCAUUACCUAUGCCUCCUCCAACUCUCCCCUGAGAUGCGGAAAGCUGCAUUUGCCCUACGUGCUUUCAACGUAGAAACUGCUAAGGCCAUGGAUGUUGCCUCUGAUCCAAGAAUCGGUCUUAUGCGUCUCCUGUGGUGGCAGGAAGCCAUAGACAAAAUUUAUUCCCACAAGAAGAUUGAACACCCCAUAGCCCAGGCCUUAUCUUCUAUAAUCUCUGAACACAAAAUCAGCAAAAGUUGGUUAAAGAGAUCUGUGGAAGCCCGAAUUAACGAUGCAAGAAGGGAAGUAGAUGAAAUUCCAGAAACAAUGGAAGAGCUUGAAAAAUAUGCUGAGGACACUGUUUCCACAGUCCUGUACAUGACUCUUCAAGCAGGAGGAAUUAGGUCGACAUCAGCAGACCAUGCAGCCUCACAUAUAGGGAAGGCAAGCGGCCUUCUUCUGCUCCUACGUUCAUUACCUUACCAUUUUAGUCGUAAUCCUCAGAUUCCUUAUAUACCGGUUGAAGUGGCAUCGAAGCAUGGAUUGUUAGUUAACGAGGGAGGUCAAAGGCUGAUUCGGUCGGAUUCUCGCGAAGGUUUACCAGAUGCAGUUUUUGAGAUGGCUUCCGUAGCUAAUACUCAUCUACAGAAGGCUCGGGAAUUAGCAAAGACAGUGCCUGCAGAAGCUCUUCCUGUUUUACUUCCUGCUGUCCCUGCACAAGUUAUGUUGGACUCACUACGGAAGGUACAUUUUGAUGUGUUCGACCCUAAGUUGACCAGAGGGGUUCUGGGUAUUUCUCCAUUAGGGUUUCAGUUAAAGCUAAAGUGGAACUCAUGGAGAAAGACAUAUUAAUGCUUUGUAAAUUCAGUUAUCAUGAUUCCAUGACCAUGCAGCGGUUUUCUCACAAAAAUGUUGCAGUUUUGAAGUACUGCAGCGGCAUUUCCAAAUAUGUAAUCUACUGUGCCAUAGAUAUCGCAGUCACGGUAGAACUGUCUCUGCGAGUGGAGUAAAAGUGUGUCUUGAUAACCCCUGAAGCUACACCUGUAGAAAGCCGAUAAAUCUGAUGACACUCUUAAAGCCACUGCUUGCUCUUUUGCAGGUCCUGCUGUGUUCUCAAAUGUCAUGUCUCUUGCCCAAAAUCCAUCUCCAGAUACACCUUCAAGCGCCAUUAGAGUAGAUUUUGUUAACAUAAUACAUUACAUGUGGCAAAACAUUAUCAUUGCUGUAUUUUGUUAGUAAUUACCGAAAGUGGCUGAGCUGAGGGUAGUUGCUCCAUCUAUCACAUUCUUGUUGCCGAUCACCACUCUUGGAGGUUGGCCUUGGUCCCGCUUCUGGCGGUGCAGUUCAGCCACAGCUUCAUUAAUGGUUUUGAAAUUGCCGGAUCCAUCUUUUGCAACAACAAAAUCAGCCUUUGCAGUUGACGCGUCCC